AUUCAAAAUGGGACAAAAUCGGAUCCUAGACUUCAAGAGAAGAAAAGCGGGUAAAGCUUGAAGAGGACCCCUGUUCCUGGCUUCAUCUUUUCAUAAUUACGCCCCCACCCGAUUUCUCAUCUUCUCCACACACAUAGAGAGUCACACGUUAGAGAUUCACCUUCAUAGACUUUAGGUCUAGCAUGUCAUUCACUCACUAUCGAAGAGAACCAAAGUGAAUUCGAAUUGUAUUUUGGAUUUGGAAAUAUAACCCUUCAAAGACUGAAAACAAGGAUAGAAACAAAUGGGAAUUUUGGGAUUUCUUGAGGAUUUUGUUGAUUCAUAUGGUUUUCCAGUAAAGAUCAGUCCGUCGAUGCCGACUCGAGUUCAUUGUUGAGUUUUGGUCGCGGUUCCUGCUGAAUCUCAAUUUUGUUUUCAUUUCAAGUGUGUCGCCAAGUCUUCUUCUGCUUGUAAUCAUUUCAACCAAUUUAAUCGAAAGAAUUUUCAGACAUUCUGAUGGUAAAUUUAUUAUCAAGGUCACUGAUGAAUACGAGUCAAAGUUUUGUUCGAGAUGUGGUUUGUUGUUCUGAUUCUGGUUUGUGAUUCCAAGCUGAAAUGUCUCUGAGAAUUAUGGGCAGGAAUCAUCGAGUUGUUUAACCUUCUUGUGAUUAAAAUUGGUGAAUAUAAGCCAAGGACCAUUCGAGAAGACGAGUCAAUUUCCGGCUAUAAUUAUUGCUUCAUUUCAGUUCGUAUAAAUUGCAGGUUCAUUUCUAUUUCAUUGGUUUCUCCCUUUCAAUUUUAUGGAGUUUAUAUGAAUUUUUAGUGCUGGUUUGUCAUUGCACCUUAGUCGCUGUUAGAUUUUGCGAAUGAGACUCUUACUUCUAGUGUGUUGAGUUAAUAUGAUUUUUUUAUGUUGGUUUGUCAUAGCACCUUAGUCGCUGUUAGAUUCUGCAGAUGAGACUCUCACUUCGAGUAAUUUUUUCGUUGUGUAUUUGCACUGAUCCGUGGCCUAGGAUUGCAAGUAUAUGCUAAUGCCAUCGCGUCGAAGAGUCUUUGAAUAGUUUUUAGAUGCUUGUUUCGAUGACUAAUUUAAUCUUUGGAUAUGAGAUUGCUUUUCUAAUUAUGAGUUACAUAGUAUUAGUUUGUUUUGCUGGCUGCUGGGUUUUAGCUUUAUUUUUGUUUGUUGUUACUUCUUCAAAUCUGUAAAUAUUUCUCUGUUGAACCUGCUCUACUGAGUUUUGAUUAUCUUUUCAGCAUUUAAUUGGCUUUCCUAAACAGUUUUGUCAUUGAUCGAGGUACAUUGUUUGGAAACCAUAGCGUUAGGAAAAUGGUUUGUUCAUUUGUGUUCGUCUAAUGAUCCAGUUUGGUUGGAUCGAUUGGCAAUGAAACCAUGUCUUGGUAGCUACUGUUCAACAAAAUUUUUGAAUCUGUUACUAGAUUUGGGAGUCUUUACUCAUUUUCCUUAAUUCCCAUUUCUUGAAGCAAAUAUGCUCUUAAAUUGAGGAUUCAUGGCCACUAUAAUGACUGUUUAAGUUGUCUGUUAUGUGGAAAUGAGAUUCAUGGUUGCUACAAUGACUGUUUAUGUUGUCUAUUCUGUUGAAAAUAAGAGUCAUGGCUGUUUUUUGCAAUUUCUACAAGUAUGACCUUUUCUUCA
rnacentral:lncRNA from 1 species